rnacentral:lncRNA from 1 species
UUUUUUUUUUUUUUUUUUUUUUUUGCUGCUAAUGGCUUAAAAUUGAUUGCAUAUGCAUUAACUACAGACGUAAUAGAGGAUGAUUAAGGACAAGUAUGAAUACCAAAAACUACAUAAUGAAUGUCUGACUCAUAUUUUAUUUACAGUGAGGUUUCAGGCAGGAACAUGAAGUUGGCUGUUCUUUUACAAUGUAUGUUAUCUACCUGAGGCAUAAAGCAUGUGGUACAUGAACAUACAGAGCAGAUGUUAAUUAUUACUAUUUUUCAUGACUCUAUCUCUUUCUUUUUACAAAAGAGAUCAAAAGUCAUUAUGGCACGUGAAUUUGGCUUUUAUUACCCUGUAUUGUUUUAAAAUGAAAGGCCUUAACGUAGGUUUCUGCACAUCACGUCUCUACCUACUACAAAUAAGACACCAUUGUUUAAUUCAUCCCUUAAAAGCUCAUUCGUAUGGACAAAAAUGGGCAAAGCUAAUCUCUAUAUAUUUCAACUGAUUAUGUGUUACAAAAAUAAACCCUAACUAGAGAUAAAACUGGCAGCUUACAUUUUCAACAACUUAUUUUUCUUGAUUACAAUUUAAAAAAUCAUUUAGUGAGAAAAAAAAGGAAGAAAGAAACACAGUAUUGUAAUGUCAACCCUAUGAAAACAAAUAUCCAGAAUGUUCUGGGAAGAGCUCAGUUUGUUCUAUAAUUUGAAAACCACUGGGAACUGCUAAAGUGAAUAACAAAAAAAUCAAAAUUUUAUUAAUAUUUAAAAUGCUGAAAUGGAGAAAAUUCAAAGUAGCAUUCAGUUCAGUAGUAGAAAAUGUGUAAUUGUGUUAGACUUUAAAAAGAGAAAAAUAACAAUUUUUAUUUCCGUUCUGUCCAGCAGUCAGAUGAUGUGCAAAGGGCAAGAAGGUUAAAUAAAUAGAUACGAUCAUUCCAAAGACUCAAGUUGUUUGAAAGCAGUGUGAGCACACCUCCUCCAAGGAGAGUCGGGUUGUUAUGAAGUACACCCAGGUUGCAGCGAUUCACCUUACAUGAGGGGAAGAUGAAGAGCUCUUCAAAUGAAGAAAUGUGCUUUGCACAUUCUGGCCCACUAAAACACUUUCUGCUCCAAACAGAAGUGGUAUUUGCAGGCCCUACUUUGGAAGGUUUUAUAGAUAGGUCAUGAUUACUUCCUCUGACCAAAUCCAUUUUGUACAAUCUUGCUAUGGUUCUGUAUCCUUGGCCUUCACAGUUGGUGUACAUAGAUGCCAAGGAAUAAAAAGGAUAACAGCCAUCUGGUUCUCAUCUCAACCAAAGAGGCAGGUUUAACUAGAGGAAAUGGGUGCAUGCUCGUGUGUCAAGUUAUUUUUAUUAGACCUGAAAGCAGAACCCUGGAAUGUUGUACGGGGAGAGGUCAUGCAAUCUUUCCUUUGGAGACCUUUAAAACCACAGUAAAUUUCCAUAUUGGUGAGAUGAUAGUAGUGUGGUUCUGCCUAAGAGAAAGGAAAGGAUUACUAAAUGAGUCUUUAGGCCAUUUCAAUGUAAUUCUGCAGGAAAUUCUAAAAAAGACCCUUACAAAUUAAUGGUCUUGGUUAUGAUUUUUAUAGCCUUAUGUCACCACAAAGGGGUGCUAUUGCAUUAGUUUAUGUCCUUCCUGGGAAAACGUCUUCAGUAUUUUCCAAAAAAAAAAAAAAAAAAAAAAAAAA